GACGAACGCUGGCGGCGUGCUUAACACAUGCAAGUCGAACGAAGUGGCGAACGGGUGAGUAACGCGUAAUCAACCUGCCAUUCAGAGGGGGAUAACAGUUGGAAACGACUGCUAAUACCGCAUACUGAAGGAGGGGAUUGUGUCUGAUUAGCUAGUUGGGGGGGUAACGGCCCACCAAGGCGAAGAUCAGUAGCCGGUCUGGGAGGAUGAACGGCCCAAAUGGGACUGAGACCCGGCCCAGACUCCUUCGGGAGGCAGCAGGUGGGAAACUUCCGCCAUGGGGGGAAGUCUGACGGAGCAACGCCCGGUGAGUGAUGACGGCCUUCGGGUUUUAAAGCUCUGUUAAUCGGGACGCGGUACCGGAAUAGAAAGCCACGGCUAACUACGUGCCAGCAGCCGCGGUAAUAC
rnacentral:rRNA from 1 species